rnacentral:rRNA from 1 species
CCUACGGGUGGCAGCAGUGAGGAAUAUUGCACAAUGGGGGAAACCCUGAAGCAGCCACGUCGCGUGAGUGAAGACGUACCUCGGUAUGUUAAGCCUUAUUAGCAGGGAAGCAAAUGACGGUACCUGUUUAAGAAGCCCCGGCUAACUACGUGCCAGCAGCCGCGGUAAUACGUCGGGCGCCAGCGGUAUUCGGAUUUACUUGGUGUAAAGGGUGCGUAGGCGGGAGCACAAGUCUGGAGGGAAAUGCCGGGGCUUAACCCCCGAACUGCUGUGGAAACUGGACAGCUAGAGUGCACGAGAGGUAAGUGGAAUGCGUGGUGUAGCGGUGAAAUGCGUAGAUAUCAGGAAGAACACCGGUGGCGAAGGCGGCAUACUGGACUGUAACUGACGCUGAGGCACGAAAGCGUGGGGAGCGAACAGGAUUAGAUACCCUGGUAGUC